AGCUACAAAAACUUCUUUUUCGCAGAGUACAAUUUUCGUACAAGUGUUUUAAGUUUUGGGGUACAAAAAUUGAUUUUGAUCGGCAACAAGCCCAACUUGCACCGUAAUAUUGUAAUCCUUUUUUUUUUGGCGUACGACCCUCAAAUCUAACCUAUUUAAUAAACAAACCUAAUAUCCUAACUAACCCCUGCUUGGAAUAACAACCGACGUCACUGGAAGUUCAAUCCAACACCGACAUCAACAAUGAAAAGGAAGAGAACAAACUCUCUCCAAUCUUCACACCAACAAUCGCUUUCUUCAAAAAGACCAAGAACAGUCACUGAUAGUUUGUAUUUACCUGACGAGUGUUGGGAAUCUAUCUUCAAAUUCAUCAUCAUCGACGGUGACAACAUCAACAAUCGUGGCUACUUGAAGUCAUUAUCCCUUGUCUCCAAACAAUUCCUCUCCAUCACCAACCGUCUCCGAUUCUCUCUCAAUGUUUGGAAGCCAACACGCCCUUUCCUUCAGCGCCUCUUCAAAAGGUUCUCCAACCUCAACUCGCUUGAUUUUUCGUGCUACAAAGGUCGCCUUGACUUUCUUCUCUGGCAAACCUCUCGUUCCUCAUCAAACCUCAAAUCGCUCAAAUCACUCAAUGUCUCCUAGAGACGUGGAAUUCCCAUGAUUGGGUUAAAAGAAUUCUCCCAAAACAUUACAACUUUGACAUCUCUCACAUGUUCCCACAUUUCCCGUCCCCAAAGCAUUGACAUGUUGAUCAUUGCCGAUUGUUUCCCUUUUCUCGAAGAACUCGACCUUAGUUACCCCUCAUAUUGCGAGAAUAGUAUGUUCGAUAGGGUAAAGACUCUUUUAUCGGCACUUUCCAAUCUUCAGAAGGUUAAUCUCACUAAGCAUUCCUACAUCAACAAUCAAUUUCUUUUUCACUUGUUUAACAGUUGUAAGUGUCUUGAAGAAGCCAUCAUAUUUCGGUGUCCUGAAGUAACCAACGUUGGUAUUGCUUCUGCUCUCGGUGAGGCACUAACAUUAAGGUCUUUAUCCUUUACCAAUUAUUUUGAACCCCAAGAAUGUUCGAUGUUGUUUGACCUCGUUAAGAACAGUCCUUCACUUAGUGAGAUCAGAAUGGAAUACAACUUUGAAAAUAGUUUUGAGACUUCUAAUUCUUUCAUGGACCUUGUUGUAAGACCUCAAUUAAAGUCACUCUGUUUGACUCACAAUUCACGCUUAAGAGAUGAAACCAUCAAAAUAUUUUCUUCGAUUUUCCCCAAUUUGCAACUGCUUGAUUUGAUUAAUUGCAGUGGCAUAUCAGACGAAGGUAUUUGUGAAGUUUUAAGAUGUUGUAAGAUUAGACAGUUGAACUUAGCUCGUAGUUUAAAAGUGAAGCUACUUUGGACUGAACUUUGAAAUUCCCAAACUGGAGGUGUUGAACUUGUCACAUACAAGUAUUGAUGAUGAAACACUCAAUGUGAUCUCAAAGAGUUGUUGUGGGCUUUUGCACUUGUUACAAAAACGUUGUAAAAAUAUCACAGAGAAGGGAGUGAAACAUAUAGAAGAAAACUGCUCGCAACUGAGAGAAAUUAAUUUGGAAGGUUGUUUUCAAUUGCAUGAUGAUGUUGUCGCUUCAUUGGUAUUUUCAAGACCAUCAUUGAGAAAGAUAACAACUCCAGCUCUUUGUCAUUUUAGUGACACUGAGAUGGAACUCUUCUCGCAUCAAGGAUGUCUUGUUUGCUAGUAUUCGAAAACUACUCUUCUGAAGUUUGACCUCUAAAAUGGAUUCGAAUUCACUAGAAGACAUUUGAAGGAGUUAAAGAUGUAAAUGCAACUUUGGUUUGAUUUUUCUGAAUUGUUAGGGGAAAUUCUUGAUGUGGAUGUCAAUGAAUUCGGCAGGCAGCUACAGGAACAUUUGUUGUUUCUAACUUUGAUUUUCAUGAUUUUUGUAGUUUCAUUUGGAUAUUGAACUUUUGAAGUCUUUUAUGUUGGUGCUUUUUAGUUUAUGUACUGGUAUUUGAACCAUAUGUUUUUUACAGUACUUUUGAAGUCUUCAUGUCUGUUUACGCACUUCAUACUCUUUAUAUUAUGCAAGUUUGCACAUGAUAGAACGGAGAAUACAUUAUGACAAUUCUCUUAUUUGAAGCAA